GAUGAACGCUGGCUACAGGCUUAACACAUGCAAGUCGAGGGGAAACGACGGGGAAGCUUGCUUCCUUGGGCGUCGACCGGCGCACGGGUGAGUAACGCGUAUCCAACCUGCCUCUGACUGAGGGAUAACCCGUCGAAAGUCGGCCUAAUACCUCAUGGCAUCGUCUGCGGGCAUCCAACGACGAUUAAAGAUUUCAUCGGUCAGGGAUGGGGAUGCGUCUGAUUAGCUUGUUGGCGGGGUAACGGCCCACCAAGGCUACGAUCAGUAGGGGUUCUGAGAGGAAGGUCCCCCACAUUGGAACUGAGACACGGUCCAAACUCCUACGGGAGGCAGCAGUGAGGAAUAUUGGUCAAUGGGCGAGAGCCUGAACCAGCCAAGUAGCGUGCAGGAAGACGGCCCUAUGGGUUGUAAACUGCUUUUAUGCGGGGAUAAAGUGAGGGACGUGUCUUUCAUUGCAGGUACCGCAUGAAUAAGGACCGGCUAAUUCCGUGCCAGCAGCCGCGGUAAUACGGAAGGUCCGGGCGUUAUCCGGAUUUAUUGGGUUUAAAGGGAGCGUAGGCCGUGGAUUAAGCGUGUUGUGAAAUGCAGGUGCUCAACGUCCGCACUGCAGCGCGAACUGGUCCACUUGAGUGUGCGCAACGCAGGCGGAAUUCGUCGUGUAGCGGUGAAAUGCUUAGAUAUGACGAAGAACUCCGAUUGCGAAGGCAGCUUGCGGGAGCACAACUGACGCUGAAGCUCGAAAGUGCGGGUAUCGAACAGG
rnacentral:rRNA from 1 species